AUUUGCAGGAGAAAUGGGCACAGAUUUUACCCCCAAAAUGGCUGUAAAAUCACUUACAUCACAACAACUAGUUCGAAUACACCAGUUGUUCCGUCAGGCUAAAUUCGGUGAUCCUAGUGGUGAUUGUCUCAGCCCUGCAGGGGAGUACAAUCUUCGUUUAGGAAUUAUAAAAGAGUUGCAUCCCGACAUGGUUGCUACUUACUCAGGCAGGAUUGUAUCAACUUUUGAGAACUAAUUAAGUUUUCUUCUUUACUUGACAUCCUGCUGUAUGUCAUUAUGUGCAGUGCUCAAGUAUUUGAAGGCCACCCUUUCCUUGUGGAGGCUGGAGUCAGCGUUGGUGGCAAAGAUGUUAAACAAUGCUUUUCGGAGUUAAAAGAGACUAAGUGGACAAUCUAAGGGAACUAAAUUAACAUGGAUUCCAGCACAGUGUGCUCAACAACCAGGAUCACUAGAUUGUGGCUACUACGUCAUGCGUUUUAUGUACGACAUAAUAAUGAAUCAUGGUAAUAGUCAAGAUCUUACUAAGGAUUUUUCAAGAACAUUGCCUUAUUCACCGGAGGAGAUUAAUGAGGUGAAAGAUUUUUGGGCAGAUUACUUCAUGAACAAUGUCGAAUUUUUAGCUUAAUUUGUAAUAUGAACUCGAUCUCUAGCUAGCUACCUUUGUUGUAAUAAUUUUAUGUUUGUUGUAACAUGUUGGUUGAUCUAUGACGAAUUUAAUUGCCUUU